rnacentral:rRNA from 1 species
GAAACCGUUCAGGGGUAAACCUGAGAAACCCAAAAGAUCGAAUCGGGAGAUUCAACGAAAACGGGGCUGGCUUCCGUUGAUGUGCGAUACCCUGAAUGGUUCCUUCGCCGGUUCCAAUGAGAGGGCACACCAUCUUCGGCAAAUGUUCCGGCCUCGUAGUUGUGCACUUCUCCCGUUGUAGAACGUCGCGACCCGUUGCGUGUCGGUCUACGGCACGGGUUGUUGCCUGUCGCGUCGUCCUUGUGGCGUACACGGCAGACGCUCGAACGCCCGGCCGGCUGCGCGACGGUACUCUGACGGUAUCGGGCCGCAACCAAUCCAUUUUUUCGAAUAUGUGUGUGCGUCGGGCCCGCCGCAAGCUCGAUUAGGUACCCGGAUGGUACGGACCUGGUGCCGGCUCCGGGCCUAGUCAGCUGUUGGCAGGCGGUGUCCUCGGACUGGCCAAGCUCUUUGAAUUACCGGUCAGCGACGCUACUGCUUUGGGUACUUUCAGGACCCGUCUUGAAACACGGACCAAGGAGUCUAACAUGUGCGCGAGUCAUUGGGACUCGUUUAAACCUAAAGGCAUAAUGAAAGUAAAAGUCGAUCUUUAAAAAGUCGACCGAGGGAGGAUGGGCCGCGUUGCGAUGCGGCCUCGCACUCCCGGGGCGUCUCGUUGUCAUUGCGAGAAGAGGCGCACCCAGAGCGUACACGUUGGGACCCGAAAGAUGGUGAACUAUGCCUGGUCAGGACGAAGUCAGGGGAAACCCUGAUGGAGGUCCGUAGCGAUUCUGACGUGCAAAUCGAUCGUCGGAACUGGGUAUAGGGGCGAAAGACUAAUCGAACCAUCUAGUAGCUGGUUCCCUCCGAAGUUUCCCUCAGGAUAGCUGGCAUUCGCACGUUCCUCCGUAGUGAACGCUAGCGAGUUUCAUCUGGUAAAGCGAAUGAUUAGAGGCCUUGGGGCCGAAACGACCUCAACCUAUUCUCAAACUUUAAAUGGGUGAGAUCUCUGGCUUGCUUGUAUCAUGAAGCCAAGAGAUAUAUUGUGCGUUCGAUAUUCUUAUCGAACGAGAAUGAAAAAGAAUCAGAGUGCCAAGUGGGCCAUUUUUGGUAAGCAGAACUGGCGCUGUGGGAUGAACCAAACGUAGAGUUAAGGCGCCUAAGUCGACGCUUAUGGGAUACCAUGAAAGGCGUUGGUUGCUUAAGACAGCAGGACGGUGGCCAUGGAAGUCGGAA